CCUACGGGGGACAGCAGUGGGGGAUAUUGCACAAUGGGGGAAACCCUGAUGCAGCGACGCCGCGUGGGCGAAGAAGUAUUUCGGUAUGUAAAGCCCUAUCAGCAGGGAAGAAGAAAUGACGGUACCUGAGUAAGAAGCACCGGCUAAAUACGUGCCAGCAGCCGCGGUAAUACGUAUGGUGCAAGCGUUAUCCGGAUUUACUGGGUGUAAAGGGAGCGCAGGCGGCACGGCAAGCCUGAUGUGAAAGCCCGGGGCCCAACCGCGGGACUGCAUUGGGAACUAGCGGGCUGGAGUGCCGGAGAGGUAGGCGGAAUGCCUAGUGUAGCGGUGAAAUGCGUAGAUAUUAGGAGGAACACCAGUGGCGAAGGCGGCCUACUGGACGGUGACUGACGCUGAGGCUCGAAAGCGUGGGGAGCAAACAGGAUUAGAUACCCGAGUAGUC
rnacentral:rRNA from 1 species